rnacentral:rRNA from 1 species
UACGUAGGGUGCAGGCGUUAAUCGGAAUUACUGGGCGUAAAGCGUGCGCAGGCGGUCUUUUAAGUCAGAUGUGAAAUCCCCGGGCUUAACCUGGGAACUGCGUUUGAAACUGGAAGGCUAGAGUGUGGCAGAGGGGGGUGGAAUUCCACGUGUAGCAGUGAAAUGCGUAGAUAUGUGGAGGAACACCGAUGGCAAAGGCAGCCCCCUGGGCUAACACUGACGCUCAUGCACGAAAGCGUGGGGAGCAAACAGG